rnacentral:rRNA from 1 species
GCUUACCAUGCAGUCGAACGGAGUACCCUUGACAGAGGCUUCGGCCAAUGGAUAGGACUACUUAGUGGCGGACGGGUGAGUAACGCGUGAGUAACCUGCCUAGAAGUGGGGAAUAACACACCGAAAGGUGUGCUAAUACCGCAUAAUACAGUUGAGAUCGCAUGAUUUUACUGUCAAAGAUUUAUCGCUUUUAGAUGGACUCGCGUCUGAUUAGCUAGUUGGUGGGGUAAUGGCCCACCAAGGCGACGAUCAGUAGCCGGACUGAGAGGUUGACCGGCCACAUUGGGACUGAGAUACGGCCCAGACUCCUACGGGAGGCAGCAGUGGGGAAUAUUGGGCAAUGGGCGCAAGCCUGACCCAGCAACGCCGCGUGAAGGAAGAAGGCUUUCGGGUUGUAAACUUCUUUGACAGGGGACGAAACAAAUGACGGUACCCUGAAAACAAGCCACGGCUAACUACGUGCCAGCAGCCGCGGUAAUACGUAGGUGGCAAGCGUUAUCCGGAUUUACUGGGUGUAAAGGGCGUGUAGGCGGGAUUACAAGUCAGAUGUGAAAACUAUGGGCUCAACCCAUAGCCUGCAUUUGAAACUGUAGUUCUUGAGUGAUGGAGAGGCAGACGGAAUUCCUCGUGUAGCGGUGAAAUGCGUAGAUAUGAGGAGGAACACCAGUGGCGAAGGCGGUCUGCUGGACAUUAACUGACGCUGAGGCGCGAAAGCGUGGGGAGCAAACAGGAUUAGA